UACGGAGGGGGCAAGCGUUAUUCGGAAUUAUUGGGCGUAAAGGGCGCGUAGGCGGCUAGAUGUGUCAAAGGUGAAAUCCCUCGGCUCAACUGAGGAACUGCCUUUGAAACUGUCUGGCUUGAGGCCGGGAGGGGGUAGCGGAAUUCCCAGUGUAGCGGUGAAAUGCGUAGAUAUUGGGAGGAACACCAGUGGCGAAGGCGGCUACCUGGACCGGUUCUGACGCUGAGGCGCGAAAGCGUGGGUAGCAAACAGG
rnacentral:rRNA from 1 species